UAGCCUAGUAGUUAAGGCUAUGGAUCGCCAAUCCGCAGACGGCGGGUUCAAUUCCCGU
rnacentral:tRNA from 1 species